rnacentral:rRNA from 1 species
GGAUUAGAUACCCUGGUAGUCCACGCCGUAAACGAUGUAUACUCGAUGUUCGCGAUAUAGUGUGAGCGUCCAAGAGAAAUUAUUAAGUAUACCACCUGGGGAGUACGGUCGCAAGAUUGAAACUCAAAGGAAUUGACGGGGGCCCGCACAAGCGGUGGAGCAUGUGGUUUAAUUCGAUGAUACGCGAGGAACCUUACCUACUCUUGACAUCCUCAGAAACUUGUAGAGAUACGAGUGUGCCUUCGGGAACUGAGAGACAGGUGCUGCAUGGCUGUCGUCAGCUCGUGUUG